rnacentral:rRNA from 1 species
GACGAACGCUGGCGGCGUGCUUAACACAUGCAAGUCGAGCGGUAAGGCCCCUUCGGGGGUACACGAGCGGCGAACGGGUGAGUAACACGUGGGUGACCUGCCCUCAGCUCUGGGAUAAGCCUGGGAAACUGGGUCUAAUACCGGAUAUGACUCCAUGACGCAUGUCGUGGGGUGGAAAGCCUUGUGCGGCUGGGGGAUGGGCCCGCGGCCUAUCAGCUUGUUGGUGGGGUGAUGGCCUACCAAGGCGACGACGGGUAGCCGGCCUGAGAGGGCGACCGGCCACACUGGGACUGAGACACGGCCCAGACUCCUACGGGAGGCAGCAGUGGGGGAAUCUUGCGCAAUGGGCGAAAGCCUGACGCAGCGACGCCGCGUGAGGGAUGACGGCCU